GAUGGCCGCGGAUGAGGAGACACCUGGGUUUCCCUGGCAACAGGUGCCAGGCGGCCGGGGGAGCCGGGAGAGCCCGGGUUUCCCCGCUCGGCUCCGCGCCGCCGCCGGCCCCGGGCGCGCCUCGCCGCCUCGCUGGGCUGGGCCGGGCUGGUCCGGCCGCCCCUGCCCCGCGGGGUCCCCAGGCCGGCCCCGCCGCCCCUGGCAGGAGCAGCCGGGGGAGCGGGCGAGCAGCGGCCCCGCCCGCAGCGGAAGAUCUGAAUUACAAUAAGAUGCCUCUACCUACAUCUUCCAUCAUGGCUGGCUGUCUACUCUCUUCGAAGGAGCAGAUGCUAGUCUGGGCUGAGAUCAUCCGCCAAAAGAUUGCUUUGGCUGUUUUCUAAACCAGUGUGAUGCCUCAGGUGCAGGAGAGAGAGACAAUAAUUAACAAUGUGGCCUACAGCAUCUUGGGGAACAAUUAAUUUUAGUGAAUGGACAAGGGGAAGAAGUGGGAAGGUCCAGAAGAAGGAUUUGCUAAUGCUUGGCUCCCACCUGUGCUCUGCAGUGAGACGUGGCAAAGCCCAAUCCUCAACCCUCCUUCCUGAGAUCAGAGAAACAGGAUUUUAUUGAAAACUCCUGGAGAGCAUCCUUCUGUCACUUUCAUUUCAAGUUCCAUCAUACUUCAACUUUUGGAAGGUCUUAUCCCUCUGCCCAGAGGCAACCAGCCUGAGAUGGUAUCCUCAGGAUUAUCUCUGCACGAAAACAGCAGCAUCCCUCUGGACCCCACAAUGAAGAUGAGCAGCAAUAAGGCAGCAAUUACCAACUCCCAUGGGCUGACAUAAUUACUGACACAGACAGCCACCAGCCACAGGCCACCAAAAGGCCACCAAAGGGUCAGGGCUGCAGAGCCAGGCCCUCUGUGCUGCUGUGAGUGCUCUCUGCAGAGCACCUGUGGCCCCACCUUGCUGCUGAAAAGGGACCUCCUUGCAGGGAGGAUGUUCCUCUGAGCUAGCACAACAUAGCCUGCUACAGAAUUGCUUUUUGUUGGACAUAUUGUUGCUGUGAGAAUGUGCCAUCUUUUGCUUCAGGACAGUUGUGUUUUACUGCAGGCUCACUGAGUGAGACCUAGAAACCCGCACACAUUUUUUUCCUGUCUUUGCAUUGGGAACAAGUGCUCAGAUGGGGAUCUCUGCUGCUCUCCUGCUGGGAAUCCUACAGCAGCCACCCCUGCCUGUCUCUCCAUCUCCAUUUCCCUCCUGAGCUUUGUCUGAUGUGCAUCAGGUGCUGUGAUUGCACAUUUCCCUCAGCUGUGCAUUACCAGAGCAGUUCCAGGUCUGUGACUCUGUGUUGCUGGCUGGGUCAGGAGGCAGAGAGAAGCAGGCAGGGAUGGAUCUCCAGCCUGGCAAACCAGGGUCCAUGGGCUGGGGGAGAGCACAGCUGAAGUCUGAUCUCCCCUCAGCAUACAGCAGCACAGAACUAUUGCCACUGCUGCAAAGUCCACUUUUACAACAGCUGGAUAUCCCAGCAAUUUCAGAAGUCCUCAACAGAGUCUGGUGUGAACUAUCUCCCGUGGGCAGCAAGGAAGAAAACCUCUCCCAACCAGAAAGGGUGAUAGUAAAUGGCCUCAAGUCACUCCAGGGGAGAUAAAGAUUGGAUAUCAGGAAAAAUUUCUUCAUUAAAGGAAUUGUCAAGCACUGGAACAGGCUGCCUGGGAAAGUGGCAGAAUCACCAUCUCUGGAGGUAUUUAAAAGACAUGCAGAUGUGGUGUUUUGGGACAGGGCUCUUGGCAGUGCUGUAUUAACAGUCCUACUUGAUGGCCUUUGAGUUAUUUUCACUUCUAAAUGAUUCCAUGACUCUAUGAAAUGGUUCAUGUCUUGCUUCCUUCUGUGGGUAUACCAGAAAACCUGCACGAGCUUAGUGUCAAACAUUCAUCACACUUAAUGAGUCAUUUUGAAUUUCAAAACUAUUUACACAUGGGGAAUGAAACCAGAGGAAAAGGAGAGCCGAAAAAUGCUGCAAAUUUUUGAAUGGAAGCACCAUAAGGGCAUUUCUUCACAGCACUGCAAGAAUCUACUCUUACAAACCUUUUUGAAAACUCUACCACUUUGGUUUGAAACAACAUGGUGUGAGGUUUUUCUCUGAUGCUCACUUUAAUUACCUUUUGCUCCCUAAUAAAUUUAGAACACUUAAAUUGAAAAUAGCUAUGAUGCACAGCCCCCACUCAUUAUCAGAAAUCUGUAUGCAGUUGCACCCAGUGUUUCAGUUUGCAUAACUUAUUUGUGACGUUAUUAAAGCUGCUUGCAUAAUAAAAUUAAAUGCAGUUUACAUUUAGUAAUGUGUCUGUUCACUUGCCUGUAAUCAAACUGACAGCAU